UACGUAGGUGGCAAGCGUUAUCCGGAAUCAUUGGGCGUAAAGGGUGCGUAGGUGGCGUACUAAGUCUGUAGUAAAAGGCAAUGGCUCAACCAUUGUAAGCUAUGGAAACUGGUAUGCUGGAGUGCAGAAGAGGGCGAUGGAAUUCCAUGUGUAGCGGUAAAAUGCGUAGAUAUAUGGAGGAACACCAGUGGCGAAGGCGGUCGCCUGGUCUGUAACUGACACUGAGGCACGAAAGCGUGGGGAGCAAA
rnacentral:rRNA from 1 species